CAUGUAGGCGGCUCUGUAAGCCCGGCGUGGAAGCCCACGGCUCAACCGUGGGAUUGCGUUGGGAACUGCAGGGCUUGAAUCAUGGAGAGGGAGCUAGAAUUCCUGGUGUAGGGGUGAAAUCUGUAGAGAUCAGGAAGAAUACCAGUGGCGAAGGCGAGCUCCUGGCCAAUGAUUGACGCUGAGGUGCGAAAGUGUGGGGAUCAAACAGGAUUAGAUACCCUGGUAGUCCACACUGUAAACGAUGUGCACUAGGUGCUGGGGCGGAUGCUUCAGUGCCGGAGCUAACGCGGUAAGUGCACCGCCUGGGGAGUAUGCUCGCAAGGGUGAA
rnacentral:rRNA from 1 species